AGAACUAGAGAAGAAAGUACAGUGUUUAGUGAACAAGAGUUAACAACAACAUAACAUGACACUUUUUUUUAUAGAUUGGAAACUGAUCAGUGUAGAACGACGCUGCCCUUAAAAACUUUUGUAAAUUUGGGUGGUGUGCUAGUAGUUAUCCGAAAGUGUCUGCACGAUGGGUGCCGAGAAACCUGACCCUGGGUCACAAGAGUGCAAGAAUUGGGAAUCCGCCUCGAUAACUUGACGCCGUGCGACAGAGAGGGAAAUAGGUUCCUAUUUAGAAUUAUCACAGGCAAUAAGACUUGUGUGCCCCUCUUUAUCCUAGAAUCUAAGGCCGCCUCAAUGACGUGGAACGCCCCCAUUGACGAGCGAGGAAAAGAUUCCAAGUGUCACAUUAGUUGGGAAAGUUUAUGGCCGCGCCGUUCUGGGACGCGAAAGGUGCGUUCUCCUUGAUUUCCUCCAGCAAGGGACCAUCAGUGCGGAACACUACUGCGAUACCCUCACCCAGACUUGGUCCGCCAUUUGACGAAACAGACCAAGGACUCUGGAGUAAAUAUGUUGGAUAACAACGGAAAACUACUUACGGCCAAGAUUCGUCGCUUCGGAUGGUAAAAUUUGGAUAAUAUGGCCUAUAGCCCCGAUAUUGCACCAACGGACUUUUAUUGGUCCCUGCAUUGAAAGACGCGCUCUCGGGACUUUAGUUCCAAACUAAUGCUGAGGUGGAGUCGGAGUGGAUUGUGCAACAUGCCCUUGCAUCCCAGGGCACCGAAGUUCGAGUGGUUUUUUUAAAACUGAUUGCACCCUACGACAUAUGUCGGUGCCGACUACGUCGUAAAUUAGUGCAAGGUGUAUAGGUCGUGAUGCCAUGGUGUAUUUGCUUUUACUGAUAAGAUGUCCGUGUGAAACAGUGACGAAACUUACUUUCGGAACACCCCACGCAUGGUACGAACAAAACUGCAUAAUAUUUUAAGCUGUGUAAAGUAGUUGUAGCAGAGAAGCAAGUACGGAAACUCGCAAGAAUAAUACACAGGGGCGCAGUAGACGAAACAUACGGUACUUUGUGCUCCCCAUAAUAUGAAGAGUGAAUAUUCGAGAUUAACCGUGUUGAACAUGUAUCGGGAACCCCUCUUGCUAUUAGUGAAAUUGUUUCGUGUCUUUAUUUGAAAUGGUAUUGUUUCUGCUUCAUGGCAACAGCUAAUUCAGUGCAGGUAUUCCAUGUAUACACAUUUAAGGUACACAUCAUGGCAGGCCUAUGCUGCAAAAUGCAAAAGUCUCAGAAUCAGUUAAUGAAAGACAUUGCUUAAUAACCCUGACAGUGUUUUAUCAGGGCAUUGUAUCAGUAGGCACAUGAAUUACACAAAAUUUGCAUUUCUUUACACAAAAACGCAGUAAGCCUGGUAUUGGCAUGACAAUAUUGCAUUAAAGUUUAGAAUCUUAUUAAAAAUGGAUGAGCAGCUAUCUAGUCGUAUAGGCUAAUGCUUGCUCAAAAAUGUGGAAGUCUACAUAACUAUCUUGCAGAAGUACAAAGAGCUUAUUAAAUAGCCUAAUUUUAUGCCCUAAAAUCAUAGUUAUUAAUUAACUUUUACUGUAAAGUAUUUCUGGGGUGAAAGAAUGUGUAAUCAAUAAAUAACACUAUUCCAGUGCCCAAAGAUGGUCUUCUUGCAGUGUUACCCCAUGGGGUAAAUACUUAGGCCAUUUUUUUUUCUAAAACUGUGCUGUUCUGCGGAUGAGUAUGCUUGUGCAGAACAAUCUAGCCAUACGAAACAAAUGGGCCUUGCGCACAUCAUCACAGGUUACUAACAGCCAACAACAGUAAAGAUGAAUGCUACUGGCAAGAGACUACUUGCACAGCCAUAAACACCCAGUCUGACAAAAGCAGUAUCUGUCUCUUCCCAUUGCAUCCCCUAGGUCUUUAUUAAUGAAAAUAUGUGUGAGAGACAGACCUGCAGAAUAAAUAUAAUUUCAAAUGAAACAGUACAAGCAAAACAAAAUACUGCAGCUUGGACAAAGUCAGUCAUAUUAAAGAAAAGUCUGUUAGUAUACUGUGUUAAACAUCAGGAACCUCGCUACUACAGGGAACACUUCUCGUAGCCAUACCAGUAUUGGAAAAUGAAAGGGCAGGUAAAUUGCGUGUGUUGUGCAUAUAGUAACAACACUUGAAAAUCAUUGGAAUGGGACAGUUUCAUGUUGAUGGGUAGAAGCUAACAUUUCCUGCUGUAGAACCAAUGUGAAGAAAGGGGGAGCGAAGUUGAUCCUAGGCUAUUCAGGUUGAUGAAUGUUGUGUUAAGCAGCUCUUUGAAUGCUGUUCCCCAAUAGUGGACCAGGAAACAUGCAAGCUUAGAGUACUGGCAAGAUAUGUCUUAAGCUUCAUAAAGCAACCUCGUGAUAGUUUUGAUUAGGUCAUUCAGACAUCAAUGAUUCUGGAGAUUUUAAUGGAGAUUUUCUGUCAGAUAGUACUGAUAGAGACUACCUCUUUGUUGAUGUCAAGCUUUGGAUUCUUAACCUAAGUAAAGUUCCCUUUAAGAACUGAGGGACAUAGUGCAAUAGCCGUUGACAGAUUCUUCGUAGACACAACCACCUUCAAUGAUAAGCCAGUAGUUGUUUUAAAAAUGUGACAAUGGUGGUCAUAUGUCAACAGUAAAAUUUAUGAAUUAUUAAUGUAUAGAUUAGAGAAGAAAAUGAUUGUUGCCUAUUACAGAACCAUAAACAAUAAUUUACACACAGUGUUGAGAGAUAAACUCCAGAUAGAAUGUUGGGAAGAGGUUGAUAAAACAGGCAGUGUUUAUGGAAAAUUUUAAUGUUUUCCUAACAUGUCCAUCCACUUUGAGUCAUGUUACUUUCUAAAACAGCGUACAAUUAAAUAGAAGCAAGGAUAAAGGAUACAUUUACUCCUAGGAUGAAGGUAUCUUCUGUAAGAAAGUGAGAGUGCUACCUAAUUCAGAAGACAAACUGUAAAGAGUUGAAGCUCUGUUACCAUCAGUAUUGUAACAUCCUCUGGGCAUUUUGCUUAGCUAGUUUUAUUCUUGCUGUUUGAGGAUUGCUCAGUUAUGACGUGCCACCCACUCCAUUCACAGCAUUGUAAGUGUUGGAAUGUUGGUGCCCAAACGUUAUUGGCUGUAUAGAGAUGUUGAGGUUCACCGAUGGUAUUGCAAUUCUGUCAGAGACAGCAAAAGACCUAGAAGAGCACUUGAACGGAAUGGACAGUGUCUUGAAAGGAGGAUAUAAGAUGAACAUCAGCAAAAGCAAAACGAGGAUAAUGGAAUGUAGUCGAAUUAAAUCGGGUGAUGCUGCCGGAAUUAGAUUAGGAAAUGAGACACUUAAAGUAGUAAAUGAAUUUUGCUAUUUGGGGAGCAAAAUAACUGAUGAUGGUCGAAGUAGAGAGGAUAUAAAAUGUAGACUGGCAAUGGCAAGGAGAGCGUCUCUGAAGAAGAGAAAUUUGUUAACAUCGAAUACAGAUUUAAGUGUCAGGAAGUCUUUUCUGGAAGUAUUUGUAUGGAGUGUAGCCCUGUAUGGAAGUGAAACGUGCACGAUAAAUAGUUUAGACAAGAAGAGAAUAGAAGCUUUUGAAAUGUGGUGCUACAGAAGAAUGCUGAAGAUUAGAUGGGUAGAUCACAUAACUAAUGAGGAGGUAUUGAAUAGUAUUGGGUAGAAGAGAUAUUUGUGGCACAACUUGGCUAGGAGGGGGGAUCGGCUGGUAGGGCAUAUUCUGAGGCAUCAAGGGAUCACCAGUUUAGUAUUGGUGGGCAGUGUGGAGGGUAAAAAUCAUAGAGGGAGACCAAGAGAAGAAUACACUAAAAAGAUUCAGAAGGAUGAAGGUUGCAACAGGUAACGGGAGAUGGAGUAGUGCAACAGGUACUGGGAGAUGAAGCAGCUUGCACAGGAUAGAGUAGCAUGGAGAGCUGCAUCAAACCAGUCUCUGGACUGAAGACCAUAACAACAACAUAGAUGUCGACCACAAUGUUCCAGAGUGCUGCUGAUGUGACUGACAAAAGGCAUACAAUUAGUUGUGAGCCAGUGGAUCCCUGUGAGCCAGCUCAAUACUCCAAUGAUGUUGAUGAUUUGUGAUGAGAUGAAGAAGCGGGAUCAGAAGCCACCACCAUACCACUGAUUUAUUCAGGCAUGGCAGAGUUUUUACAUGAAAAUGUUCAGCGAAUUAGUGCUGCCGCAUCUAUCGUCUGCGUCCGCACAUGGACUUUUUUGUUUUAUUUGCUGCAAUUCACAAAUAACUGAACCUAGUGACCAAAUUGUGCAUUUAUGUAAUGUGAAGUUGUUAUUGUUGUAACAAAAUUUUAACAAUGCUGAAGCUUUUAUACUUGUAAACACAAAACUAACUGGGAAAUAAAAGUGCUGAA